AAGAAAUACUGAUGUAUAUGAAAGAUUAGCAAACAAUACAGAAGUAAGCAAAUCUAAAAUGGUGUGGAACAGACCACCAUGCCUUUGAAGAUAAGAGGAAAUUGUGAUCACUGAGGCUGGAGUUCAUCAGGGCUGACAUCAGAAUGGAGGUCAGUUUCAUUUUCUCCGGGAAUCAAAGCUGUUUAUUCAUGCAACUGACCGUAUGUGGCAUAUUGAAGAAGAAUGCUCACAAGGUCUUCCCUGGUGACUUAGUUGGUAAAGAAUCUGCCUGCAGUGUAUGAGACCCAGAUUUGAUCCCUGGAAUGGGAAAAUCAUCUGGAGGAGCAAAGAGCAACCCACUCUAGAUUUGUUGCAUGGGAAAUCCCAUGGACAGAGGAGCCUGGCAGGCUACAGUCCAUGGGGUCUCAAGAGUCAGACACUACUUAGCACUAAACCACCAUGAUGUUCCAAGGAUACUUGGACACUGAAAGUUCUAUACCUUCAAGGGCAGAAACAACAAACUGGAGGGAGAGAGUUAUUCCGUGUCUGAAGAUUGUAGGACAAGGGGCAAUGUCCUGAAA
ensembl:lncRNA